rnacentral:rRNA from 1 species
UACAUGGGGUGCAAACGUUGCUCGGAAUUAUUGGGCGUAAAGCGCACGUAGGUGGUCUGUUAUGUCAGAUGUGAAGGCCCUCGGCUUAACUGAGGAAGUGCACCUGAAACUGGCAGGCUUGAGUACGAAAGAGGGUCGCGGAAUUCCCGGUGUAGAGGUGAAAUUCGUAGAUAUCAGGAGGAACACCGGUGGCGAAGGCGGUUCUCUGGGCCUUACCUGACACUGAGGAGCGAAAGCGUGGGGAGCGAACAGG